CGACUGGCGGCGCACAUAAGACAUGCAAGUCGAACGGAAGUCGUUACCAAAUGAAUUGAAGAUUUAUCUGAUUGAAGUUUAGUAACAAUGGCUUUAGUGGCGGACUGGUGAGUAACACGUAAGCAAUCUACCUAUUAGAGGGGAAUAACAAUGAGAAAUCAUUGCUAAUACCGCAUAAGCUUGUAGCAUCGCAUGAUGCAGCAAGAAAAGGAGCAAUCCGCUUGAGGAUGGGCUCGCGGCUGAUUAGCUAGUUGGAGUGGUAACGGCACACCAAGGCGACGAUCAGUAGCCGAACUGAGAGGUUGAUCGGCCACAUUGGGACUGAGACACGGCCCAGACUCCUACGGGAGGCAGCAGUCGGGAAUAUUGCGCAAUGGGGGAAACCCUGACGCAGCGACGCCGCGUAAAGGAAGAAGGUCUUCGGAUUGUAAACUUUUGUCGACAGGGAAGAAAAAUGACAGUACCUGUGGAGGAAGCCCCGGCUAACUACGUG
rnacentral:rRNA from 1 species